AAAGAAUUAGUUAAAUUAACAUCAGUAUGUCAAACUGGAAUUAUUAGCCAUAAUCUAAUAUUCUUUU
rnacentral:tRNA from 1 species